GAGAUUAAGAAAGAAGAAAAAUAAUUGAAUAAAAGAAAGAGAAAGAAAAGAAAAAAGAAAAGAAAAAGAAAAAGUCUUGAAAAAGAAGAAAAAAAUUAAAGGUUUUGUGCUAAUAAGUUGUGUGAAAAUGUGUAACAAUUGAGUAAUGAGAUAAAUGUGAAUGAAAUUUAUGAAUGUUUGAGAUUGUGAGAAACAAUCACUCUCAUUUGAUUAGGCAAGUUUUUGUUUCAAUUACCUUUAGAAGUGAUAUUUCUUUGU
rnacentral:lncRNA from 1 species